UCUUUUCCAUUUUGAGUGUAGCAAAUCACACCCUACUUUCCGACAGAGAUGAGCCGUAUCUGGAGUUCGUGCGUGCAUCUAAGCCCAUCACGGCCCUUCUUUUUCCAAUCGAACGGUUGUUUUAGAUUCACGCACGAACUCUCGAUUCGUCUCCUCCAUCACACCCAAAAAUCUCCCCCCUCCCUGGUUUCCCGCCGAAUCCGGAGACAAGGAGUAUACGAAAAUUGGCGGAAGCAGCUUAGAAGUUGAUGUGCGAGUGUUGGUAUCGACGGAUUCGAGUUUGGCGGAACAUUUUCGGUUAAAUUGUUGGAAAUACUCAAAUAGUUUUCCCGUCAAAUCUGGAGAUACCGAUAAUAAAUUUCUUCGAGAAAUCGAAAAAUACGGCUCAGACGGCGGAAGGUUGGUGCUGAGGAUUUUUGUUGAGAUUCCAGGUUUUGCAGUUUGGUUCUGAUUUGAGAAAAGAUCUGAUAGAUGACUCUGAGAUUCUGUUCAUUUAUCGUGGCUUUCACUUUUUCCGAAUGAUUGAAUCAAAGGAGAGGUAAUUAUGCGAUUUCAGGUUCGUUUAUUAAGUUACUCAUAUUGGCUAAAUUGUCGAAAAUCUGUGCUUUUUUCUGCACAGAUUCACUGGUUUUUUUUUAGUUUUAAUUUACUUGCCAAGAGGAUUAUCAGUGGAACUACCUGGAAUUGGGAUUUAAUUUUCAAUGCGGCUAUGUAUGAGAUGCUUUCGUGUAGUUUUCCUUUGUUACACUAUGUUCCAUUAGAGUGGAGGGGAAAGGAGGGAUUUUAAUGAAGGAUGAGAGGGAGGAAUCCCUUCAAAUCCCCUCAAUCCGGAGGGGAGGGUUGAGAGGGGAGGGGAGGGAACCAAAAUGUUUCAUCUCAAUAGAAUAGAGUGCGCAGUUAUUAUUGUCUGAAGAUUCUUCAGAAAUAUAUUGUGACCAAAGUCUUUUCUUUCUGUUUAAGGGAAUAGUUCUUUGGUUUAUGCUGGAACUACUGUUUGUUGGAGCUCUGUGAAAUGGAUUUAAUUCUGUUUAAUGUUGUGUUAACCGUUAGUCUUAGUCUCAAUAUUUGGAGUGGCUAUAUCGGUCCUUAACCAGAUACAAGUGUAGAGUUCCUUAUUCGAGCCCUUCUCUCAGAUCAUACUUGUUUUGUACUGAACUUUUCGCCAUUUUCUUUUCUUUCUUUUUUGGGGGUCAUUGUUCCUUCCUACAUGGCUAGCAGGGGCUGAAGGUACAGCUAGACUUUUCUAACUUUUGUGUUUCUGUAUCAAUAUUAUAUAGAGUCCUUUACUCAUUGCCAGGAUUAGAUUAAAUUUUUUGUUUUUUAAUCGUUAUGAUUAGUUUCCUUUGCUGAUUGACAAAACUUUAUCCACCGUAGAAACAUGAACUCGUUAACUGGCCGGGGAUGCGAGGAUUAAGGAAGUGAUAAAAACUCAUCAAAAUGAGCGUAUCACGGACUUUUAAGCAUGCUUGCACAGUGUAGGAUGUGCAAUUACAUUGUAUUUUUUAUUUUCUUUCACUAGAUGGAACGUUUGUACUUUAUUCAAAGUUUCUUUCUGUAAAUAUUAUUGUAGUAUUUAUUCUCCUUA